CGGGCAACAAGGGUCAGCCGGCAUCGCCGCAAUCUCGAAUUCGCGCUCGCAAGCCACUCGACCGCCUUCCUCCACCCCGCCCACGCC
rnacentral:misc_RNA from 1 species